rnacentral:rRNA from 1 species
CGGUUACCUUGUUACGACUUGAUGGACGCUAGCGGGAGGCCUAAUACAUGCAAGUCGAACGGUAACAGGGUAGCAAUAUCGCUGACGAGUGGCGUACGGGUGCGUAACACGUACACAACCUGCCCAAUACUGGAGCAUAGCCUCGGGAAACUGAGGGUAAUUCUCCAUAAUAUAUUAGAAUGGCAUCAUUUUAAUAUUAAAGUAACAACGGUAUUGGAUGGGUGUGCGUCUGAUUAGCUAGUUGGUGUGGUAACGGCUCACCAAGGCAACGAUCAGUAGCUGGUCUGAGAGGAUGAUCAGCCACACGGGCACUGAGACACGGGCCCGACUCCUACGGGAGGCAGCAGUAGGGAAUAUUGGACAAUGGAGGAAACUCUGAUCCAGCCAUCCCGCGUGAAGGAUUAAGGUCCUAUGGAUUGUAAACUUCUUUUCUUUGGGAAUAAAAUCUCCGAUUCCUCGGAGCUUGAAGGUACCAGGGGAAUGAGCACCGGCUAACUCCGUGCCAGCAGCCGCGGUAAUACGGNAGGGUGCAAGCGUUAUCCNGGAUUNCACUGGGUUUAAANGGGUGCGUAGGUGGNUUUUGUAANGUCAGUGGUGAAAGCCUACAGCUUAACUGUAGAANUUGCCAUUGAUACUGCUUAACUUGAAUCAAGUCGAAGUGGAUGGAAUAGANUCAUGUAGCGGUGAAAUGCUUNGAUAUGAUUUNAGAACACCAWUUGCGAAGGCAGUUCACUAGGCUUGUAUUGACACUGAGGCACGAAAGCGUGGGGAUCAAACAGGAUUAGAUACCCUGGUAGUCCACGCCCUAAACGAUGUAUACUCGACAUAUGCGAUACACUGUAUGUGUCCAAGCGAAAGCGUUAAGUAUACCACCUGGGAAGUACGUCCGCAAGGAUGAAACUCAAAGGAAUUGGCGGGGGUCCGCACAAGCGGUGGAGCAUGUGGUUUAAUUCGAUGAUACGCGAGGAACCUUACCUGGGCUAGAAUGCAGAUUGACCGCUCUUGAAAGAGGGCUUUGUAGCAAUACACAGUCUGUAAGGUGCUGCAUGGUNGUCGUCAGCUCGUGCCGUGAGGUGUUGGGUUAAGUCCCGCAACGAGCGCAACCCCUUUUCUUAGUUGCCAGCGGUUCGGCCGGGGACUCUAAGAAUACUGCCUGCGUAAGCAGAGAGGAAGGAGGGGAUGACGUCAAAUCAUCAUGGCCUUUAUGCCCAGGGCUACACACGUGCUACAAUGGUAGGUACAGAGGGUUGCCACACAGCAAUGUGGAGCUAAUCUCAAAAAGCCUAUCUCAGUUCGGAUUGCAGGCUGCAACUCGCCUGCAUGAAGCUGGAAUCGCUAGUAAUCGCAAAUCAGCAAUGUUGCGGUGAAUACGUUCCCGGACCUUGCACACACCGCCCGUCAAGCCAUGGAAGUUGGGUGUACCCUAAGACGAUAACCGAAAGGAGUUGUCCAAGGUAAAACCAGUAACUGGGGCUCUGAGCCAGGAUCAAACUCU